AAAUUUCAUUUUACUAGGUCAAGUGAUUAUUUUGUUUUUUGCAUUACAAAUCAUAAUAAGUCUUGACAAAUCCAAACUAGAUGUGAUUGUCAUAGCCUUUCAUUUAUUUUGAUUUAUUUCACCUGCUGUCUCAAAAAGUUUAUAAUGUAAAAAAAAAACAAUUGAGGUCAUAUGAAAGCCACCAAGCAUUUGAAACAAAGGAAGGGCUGCUUACGUGACACUGACUUCCAUUAAUUACCAAAACUUCUUGCUGCAGUUCCUAAACUUUGUUACAUGACUGGCAUUACAGUAGUAAAUCACUAAAAUUGGAAGCACUUACAAUAUACAAUCGUGCCUAAAACAAUGAUGAACCUUAGGGCUACUACAGAAGGAAAAAAGUGCAGUGUGUGGACACUACGGUUUCUUUAAAACGAAACAGACCCAUCCAUCACAACGCUAUACCAUCCUGCAAUAGGACCAUCCAUUAGCCAUACACCAAAACCAACCUACAAUGCCAUGUAACAAGCAAGUUAGCAUUUUAAACCAAAUCACCACCAUAUUUAUUUAAGUUAAGAUGUUAACCAUUAUGACCUUAUCGUAAUGGGUAGCAGCAGGAUAAUAAAUUAACUCCUCCAACAAAGUUAACCAAAUCAACAAUUAAUACAGACAUACCAAUUGGCUUAUUUCAAUUUCGAAACUUAAGAGUCGCUCGCAUAAGUUGACACUAGGUGGUUAUCCUAUUUGUUUCCAAAUAUCAUCACUAAUCAAUUAGUUUUAAAAUUCAAUCCCAACACAACUGAGUUAACUUUAAAUCCAAUUGUCUUUUUUACUAAAAGCUCCAUCAUAUACCAGUAACUUAAAACAUUCUCAACUAAGAUGACUCGAGCCAUUUCCUUCACAUUUCACCCAACUAAUCUUCAUACUGACAUUCUGUUGCAAUUACCAAACAAAAUGAAAACCAAUUUCACAAAAUAACCGCCCUAACC
rnacentral:lncRNA from 1 species